CCAAUGAUCUUCUAUGCAUCGGUCAGAUUCUGCACAGAAUAUGCGCAGAAUGCUCUCCGUGAACGCACCCAUAGUCCUAGGAAGAACUGUGGAAAUCUGCGCUAUAACAACACGACCAUAGGCUGCGUUCUAGUAGCACAGGAUUUUGGACAAGGGUAUACUUGCAAGACGGACGAAACACGCUUCACACCCCAAGCCUGACACCCUUUACUUAUAACUCCGCCUCUAACUCCACCUCUACAGUGACGCAAAAAGAAAGGCGUCACAUUUGAGAAGGAGAAACAUAUGUACGGUUGUUGCAAGCACAGUUGCAUUUACACUUUGACAAAAGACGACACGCAAGCAGAUUCCUUUAUCCAAGGCGACUUACAGAGACUCGGGAGUGUGAACUAUGCAUCAGCUGCAGUCACUUACAAGUACGUCUCACCCGAAAGAUGGAGCACAAGGAGGUUAAGUGACUUGCUCAGGGUCACACAAUGAGUCAGUGGCUGAGGUGGGAUUUGAACCGGGGACCUCCUGGUUACAAGCUCUUUUCUUUAACCACUGGACCACACAGCCUCCUGUGUAUAACAAAGUUGAGUUAUAACAAAGAUCUCUGUUACAUAAUGGUAAAAAAAACCCAGUUAGCCUGCACACUUUUUCAACUAUCUUUUGUUUACUAAUUUUUAUCUUUGUAAUCCUAACUAUCGCCAUAGACUUAGGUACAUUGGGCAAUCAAAAAUGCUAAUUUACCGAAAACAAUGGAAACAUUGAUAUAUUGUUUUCCACUUAAAAGUAACAUAAAGAUUCAGGUUAGCAUGCGGUACAUCUGAAGUUACACCAAUGAUUUAACUUUCAUUUUUAUAAUUAUUAUUCAUCUGGUUACGUUGUUUAAGUUGUACAAUUUUGCAUAAAAAAUAUAUACACUUUUCAUAUAUUAAAUGUGUAUUCAUUUGUCAUCUGUGGUUAAUAUAUAUAUAUAUAUGUAUAUAUAUUUCCCCCCCUAUAAAUUACUCUGGCCUUACAGCGGACAGUGGCCUUUUAUCAUUGAGGUGACAUUAUAUUAUAAUUUUAUGUGUAUGUCUAUGUUGAGAGUAGAGAAGUCAAGAGAAAAUAUAGAUUGAAAUGAAACAAAAAAAAAUGACUCUUACAAAGAGUUUUCAUCGAAUUUAAACAUAUCUGGAAAUAAAACUUCUGUAUCUAAAAAUCUAUAUUUUCUCUUAACUUCAAAGAAGACUACGCGGCGAUCUGAUUCAAGCAUUCAGAAUCCUAAAAGGUAUAGACAGUGUCGACCCAGGGGACUUUUUUGACCUGAAAAAAGAAACAAGGACCAGGAGUCACAAAUGGAGAUUAGAUAAAGGGGCAUUCAGAACAGAAAAUAGGAGGCACUUUUUACACAGAGAAUUGUGAGGGUCUGGAACCAACUCCCCAGUUAUGUUGUUGAAGCUGACACCCUGGGAUCCUUCAAGAAGCUGCUUGAUGAGAUUUUGGGAUCAAUAAGCUACUAUCAACCAAACAAGCAAGAUGGGCUGAAUGGCCUCCUCUCGUUUGUAAACUUUCAUAUAUUCUUAUGUUCUUAUAAAUGAUCAGAAGUAAACAAGGCUCCGACUUUAAGAAGUGAGUUUGAAAAGAUAGUCGUGCCAACUCUGCAGCCUGAAAUGGAGAAUCCAAAAGCUGCAGGACCAGUUUUUCAUCUAGCCAAGCACCCAGCAUUCCCUGCAUAAGCUAGUUUGUAUUGCCUUGAUCUGACUGCAACAGCUCAGGUUACACCAGACUUGUGUCCCCAGAAAACAAAACAAAACAGUGUGAUGGUUUGUUAUUUAAUGGUUUUUACAUGUAACAUUGUUGAAGGUUGUUUAAUAUAUUUAGUGAACAAUAUGCAUUUCAAGUAAAAUAUUGUGCAUAAAGUCAUUAAUACUUAUUGUUUACAUAUGUUUAUUUGAAUGUUUAUAGAGUGCUCAGGAAUACUCACUUGCAAAUACAGUAGGCUCCAUAAUUAUUGAUACCCUUUAUUCAGUGUAAAUAAAAUGGGGGAAUUAAAUUAAAACUUGACCCACCAGCUAAUCGCAAAGUCAGAAUUUAAUGGUGGUUGUAUUUAUUAGUAGAAGAAAGUGCCCACUUAAAUCAAACUGCUAUUAAGUACAUAUUUCUAAUUUGGUUUUAGUGGAAGGGUCUAAAUGGUGAUUUAAUCCCCCCAAAGUUGGUUUUAAAAUAUCAACAAAAAGCAAGUUUACAUUCAUUAUUUCUUGCUAUAUCAUAAAAACAUAUCUGUCAAAAAUAACUGCAUUUUAAUUUAAUAUCCAAACUGCAUUAUGUAUUUGUAAUAAAGUUCUUUGUUUGCAA